GAUGAACGCUGGCGGCGUGCCUAAUACAUGCAAGUCGAACGAAGAUCUAGCUUGCUAGAUCUUAGUGGCGAACGGGUGUGUAAUACAUAAAUAAUCUGCCCAUAUGACUGGGAUAACUAUUGGAAACGAUAGCUAAUACCGGAUAGGUUGAUCGGAGGCAUCUCUGAUGAAUUAAAGUAGGAUUUCUACACAAAUGGAUGAGUUUAUGGCGCAUUAGUUAGUUGGUGGGGUAACGGCCUACCAAGACGAUGAUGCGUAGCCGACCUGAGAGAGUGACCGGCAACACUGGACUGAGACACGGCCCAGACUCCUACGGGAGGCAGCAGUAGGGAAUUUUCGGCAAUGGGCGCAAGCCUGACCGAGCAACGCCGCGUGAGUGAUUAAGGCCUUCGGGUUGUAAAGCUCUGUUGUAAGGGAAGAACAUUCAGGAUAGGAAAUGAUCUUGAACUGACGGUACCUUACCAGAAAGCCACGGCUAACUGCGUGCCAGCCGCCGCAGUAA
rnacentral:rRNA from 1 species